GUGCGCCACUGGCCCGUCGGCGAGCCUGCAGGAGAGGAUUAGGAAUUCAGAGGCAACUUUCUCAGGGCUCUUGUCCAUCUCCCUUGAUACUUUAUGCUGUGCGCUGCUCAGUCUCUCCCCCCUUUACCCCCUCCUUUUUCUCUCCCCUCCCCCCUUUCAUUUCUAUCGAUGAAUUUCCCUCUAUUCCUCUCGCUUUCCUUUCUCCUUUCCUUCCUUCCCUUGAUUCUCCACCGUUCCGGCGAGCCUCUUCGUGGCCCGCUUUUGUGCAGCUGGCGGCGAAUGGCUGGUUGCCACAUCGCAAGCUUAAGGAAAGUAAGGUGAUACCCUCUUUAGCUGAGAAUCAGUGUGAAAAUACACAGUGCUGGUCCGCGACUUCUAAAACCAAGAUAACAGUCCUAUCUAAUUCAAAGGGGAAGAAGAAGUAGCAGUUUCUCCAUGUGCGUCAGCGGGAGGCAAAGGAUUAUAAUCGGCAAUGGCCCUCACUAACCCGCAGUGAUCUGGAGAAGGUGGAAGGAAGUGUCCAUAUCUUUCUAACAUUUCCUAGACUGAGUUCAGGAGGAAGGAAAGCUGGAAAUAAGACUCCCCCAUUCCUUCACAUUCGUCUCCAUCCUCUCUUUCUUCCAAUUAAGUAAAAAUAAAAAUGUUCUUGGUCAUUCCUUGUAGGAUCAUAUUUAACACCCCCUCCUUUCCACCCCUUCCACUCUCCCUCCCCACCCCCCGGCACACUUUGUCGAAAAACUAGGGCAAACUACAACGGACACCACA